rnacentral:rRNA from 1 species
ACGCUCGACACCUACGGGAGGCAGCAGUGGGGAAUAUUGCACAAUGGGGGAAACCCUGAUGCAGCGACGCCGCGUGAAGGAAGAAGUAUCUCGGUAUGUAAACUUCUAUCAGCAGGGAAGAAAAUGACGGUACCUGACUAAGAAGCCCCGGCUAACUACGUGCAAGCAGCCGGCGGUAAUCUGAGCGGGCUGGCAAGGC